rnacentral:rRNA from 1 species
AUACGGAGGAUCCGAGCGUUAUCCGGAUUUAUUGGGUUUAAAGGGUGCGCAGGCGGCCGUUUAAGUCAGCGGUUAAAUCGUGGCUCAACCCCAUUCUGCCGUUGAUACUGGGUGGCUUGAUUGCGGUCGAGGUUGGCGGAAUUCGUUGUGUAGCGGUGAAAUGCAUAGAUAUGACGAAGAACACCGAUUGCGUAGGCAGCUGACCAGACCGCAAAUGACGCUCAUGCACGAAAGUGCGGGGAUCGAACAGGAUUAGAUACCCUGGUAGUCCGCACAGUAAACGAUGAAUACUUGUUUUCGGCGAUAUAAUGUCGGAGGCAAAGCGAAAGCGAUAAGUAUUCCACCUGGGGAGUACGCCGGCAACGGUGAAACUCAAAGGAAUUGACGGGG